rnacentral:rRNA from 1 species
CGAGACGACGCUGGCGGCGUGGAUUAGGCAUGCAAGUACGGACGGUAGGGACUUUACUCGUAAGAUAGAGGUUUGAGAGUGGCGAACGGGUGAGUAACACGUAGGAAUCUACCCUUAAGACGGGGACAACCCAGGGAAACUUGGGCUAAUACCGGAUGAGAGUGCGAGAGAUUGCAUUUAAAAGGAUGGCGAAAGUUGUCGCUUAGGGAUGAGCCUGCGGUCUAUUAGUUAGUUGGUGAGGUAAGAGCUCACCAAGGCGAUGAUAGAUAGGCGGCCUUAACGGGUGGUCGCCCACACUGGGAUUGAGAUACGGCCCAGACUCCUACGGGAGGCAGCAGUCGAGAAUAGUCUACAAUGGCCGGAAGGCUGAUAGUGCGACGCCGCGUGAACGAGGGAGCCCUUCGGGGUGUAAAGUUCUUUUCUAUACGAGCAGUGCUAUAUAUAUGGAUAGUAUAUAUAGAGGGAUAGUAGUAUAGGAAUAAGCAACGGCUAACCUCCGUG